GGUUAAAAUCUGCAGCAGGGGUGUAAAUUUAAUUUUUUAUCGGGUGUAUUUAUAGUCUGUGUUUGGGUGUAUUAUGCAGAUCUCUAUGCAGACCGUCAUAUAUGGGUUCCAAUCUAUCUGGAUCACCACUUCAUAUUA